rnacentral:rRNA from 1 species
GCUUGGCCUUAAACCUCAAUAGUUAAAUAACAAAACUACUUGCCAGAAUACUACAAGCAACAGCUUAAAACUCAAAGGACUUGACGGUGCUUUACAUCCCCCUAGAGGAGCCUGUUCCAUAAUCGAUAAACCCCGAUCCACCCCACCCCCUCUUGCUCAGCCUAUAUACCGCCAUCUUCAGCAAACCCUGAUGAAGGUUACGAAGUGAGCGCAAUUGCCCUCCACCGCAAAAACGUUAGGUCAAGGUGUAGCCCAUGAGACGGUAAAAAAUGGGCUACAUUUUCCACCUCAGAAAACCCCACGAUAACUCUUAUGAAACCUAAGAGUCCAAGGAGGAUUUAGCAGUAAAUUAAGAAUAGAGUGCUUAAUUGAACUAGUCCAUAAAGCACGC